rnacentral:siRNA from 1 species
AUCGAUUGACAUAGACAUUAUUGU